UCCAUUAUCUGUCUCACCGAUUUUGGGAUGUCCACAUGACAGAAGUAUUUGUCCCAUUUCUCAGAGGAGGAAGCUGAGGCUGACAGAGGUGGACAGACUUGGCCCAAAUCCCACAGCAACAAUAACUGCAACCUGCAACAAGCUGCCAACAGAAGCGACAAAACCUGUGAACCAUGAGGUGGUAUGUGAAAGGAAAUUAGCAAUAAAUAGGGAGUGCUGAAGAACCCUUUUCUUGAGGACUUAGGAUCAGUAUGAAAACCAAUCAGAAGGAAGUAUCCUUGGCUGCAGCCUGCGAAAUGGGAACUGGGCUCCAUCACCUGGCUCUCCAGUGUCAAGAGCAACUUGGGACAAGUCCCCUCCUGUCUUUGUGGGUGGCUGAUUCCUCUGGCUGGGCCAGGGAACACCCUCUCUAGUGGCAGCUGGCUGAGAAUCCCAAUGAACCCAGUCACGGACGAGCCACCGUUGGACUAGACACAUAUGAAGUCCAACUCUGGAGGCUGCUCACAGCCUGAUAGAGAAACUGAGGCUUGGAGUGAUCAAAGGUCUCACAGCAUGAAGUCGGCAGAAUCAAGGCCCAGAGUUCUUAGAUCACCAAAAGAAAUACUCAAGGGUGGUCAGAUCAAGAACAACUCCUCUCUCCCGUCAUCCUGAGAGUCUCAGCAAGACUAAGGCAGCACAGUCCCUUGUUCACCUGCCCAGUCUGGUGGCCUGCAAAGUUCUGGCCACAAACCCUACAGCCCAGCUGCCUAGAAGACCGCACCCCCCUGCAAAAUUUCAUUACUCAAGUUGGCAAGAACGCAGCCCCCACCCCCCCAGCCGGGUCUAAAUAAACGCCCAAGUGAUAUCACA